rnacentral:rRNA from 1 species
UACAGAGGUCUCAAGCGUUGUUCGGAUUCAUUGGGCGUAAAGGGUGCGUAGGCGGCGCGGGUAAGUCGGGUGUGAAAUCUCGGAGCCUUAAACUCCGAAACUGCAUUCGAUACUGCCGUGCUUGAGGACUGGAGAGGAGACUGGAAUUUACGGUGUAGCGGUGAAAUGCGUAGAUAUCGUAAGGAAGACCAGUGGCGAAGGCGGGUCUCUGGACAGUUCCUGACGCUGAGGCACGAAGGUCAGGGGAGCAAACGGG